UACGUAGGGGGCAAGCGUUGUCCGGAAUCAUUGGGCGUAAAGAGCGUGUAGGCGGCUCGGUAAGUCCGCUGUGAAAGUCCAGGGCUCAACCCUGGAAUGCCGGUGGAAACUGUCGAGCUAGAGUCCGGAAGAGGCGAGUGGAAUUCCUGGUGUAGCGGUGAAAUGCGCAGAUAUCAGGAAGAACACCCGUGGCGAAGGCGGCUCUCUGGGACGGUACUGACGCUGAGACGCGAAAGCGUGGGGAGCAAACAGG
rnacentral:rRNA from 1 species